rnacentral:rRNA from 1 species
GAUUCUGGCUCAGGAUGAACGCUAGCUACAGGCUUAACACAUGCAAGUCGAGGGGCAGCAGUUGGGGUAGCAAUACUCAGAUGGCGACCGGCGCACGGGUGAGUAACACGUAUCCAACCUGCCGCUUACUCGGGGAUAGCCUUUCGAAAGAAAGAUUAAUACCCGAUGGUAUAAAGAGUUCGCAUGUUCUCUUUAUUAAAGAAUUUCGGUAAGCGAUGGGGAUGCGUUCCAUUAGAUAGUUGGCGGGGUAACGGCCCACCAAGUCUACGAUGGAUAGGGGUUCUGAGAGGAAGGUCCCCCCACAUUGGAACUGAGACACGGUCCAAACUCCUACGGGAGGCAGCAGUGAGGAAUAUUGGUCAAUGGACGAGAGUCUGAACCAGACCCAAGUAGCGUGAAGGAUGACUCGCCCUAGUGGGUUAGUAAACUUUCUUUUAGUAAGGGAAUAAAGUGAGGGACGUCGUUCCCUUUUUGUAUGUACCUUAUGAAUAAGGAUCGGCUAACUCCGUGCCAGCCGCCGC